GACGAACGCUGGCGGCGCGCUUAAUACAUGCAAGUCGAGCGAGAACCAGAGCUUCGGCUCUGGGGACAGCGGCGAACGGGUGAGUAACACGUGAGUAAUCUGCCCUCGGCACCGGGAUAGCCCGGGGAAACCCGGAUUAAUACCGGAUGGCCUCUCGAGCUUUCGGGCUCGUGAGAAAAGGUAGCUUCGGCCUCCGGCCGAGGAGGAGCUCGCGGCGGAUUAGCUUGUUGGUGGGGUAACGGCUCACCAAGGCGACGAUCCGUAGCUGGUCUGAGAGGACGAUCAGCCACGCUGGGACUGAGACACGGCCCAGACUCCUACGGGGGGCAGAAGUAGGGAAUCUUGCGCAAGGGGCGAAAGCCUGAAGCAGCGACGCCGCGUGCGGGAAGAAGGCCUUCGGGUUGUAAACCGCUUUCAGGAGGGACGAAGCCACUCGGGUUAAUAGCCCAGAGGGUGACGGUACCUCCAGAAGAAGCCCCGGCUAACUACGUGCCAGCCGCCGCCGUAAUAC
rnacentral:rRNA from 1 species